UUCUAUUUCAUUCGUCGGCCUCCAAUCUUGCUUUUUUUUUUCUUCAAUCUUUCUUUUCUCUUUUUCCGUUCCCCUUUACUCUCUUCUCUCCCAUUUUCCUUUUUCACAUUCUUUCUUUUCUUCCUCGUUCUGUAUUUCCUUUCAUUCAUUUUUUUCCUUUACAAACUUUGCAAAGCUGUUAAUGGGUUUGUUUACUUAGUACAAAAUAGAAGAUUUACAGAAGUUGGAGAAGAAGAGGUGAGAUUGAAACCUAGAUUUACUUGUUAUUCGACGUAAAAUAAAUAUAAAAG
rnacentral:lncRNA from 1 species